GGGUUGUGAGGUUAAGCGACUAAGCGUACACGGUGGAUGCCCUGGCAGUCAGAGGCGAUGAAGGACGUGCUAAUCUGCGAUAAGCGUCGGUGAGGUGAUAUGAACCGUUAUAACCGGCGAUUUCCGAAUGGGGAAACCCAGUGUGUUUCGACACACUAUCAUUAACUGAAUCCAUAGGUUAAUGAGGCGAACCGGGGGAACUGAAACAUCUAAGUACCCCGAGGAAAAGAAAUCAACCGAGAUUCCCCCAGUAGCGGCGAGCGAACGGGGAGGAGCCCAGAGCCUGAAUCAGUGUGUGUGUUAGUGGAAGCGUCUGGAAAGGCGCGCGAUACAGGGUGACAGCCCCGUACACAAAAAUGCACAUAUUGUGAGCUCGAUGAGUAGGGCGGGACACGUGGUAUCCUGUCUGAAUAUGGGGGGACCAUCCUCCAAGGCUAAAUACUCCUGACUGACCGAUAGUGAACCAGUACCGUGAGGGAAAGGCGAAAAGAACCCCGGCGAGGGGAGUGAAAAAGAACCUGAAACCGUGUACGUACAAGCAGUGGGAGCCUCUUAAUGGGGUGACUGCGUACCUUUUGUAUAAUGGGUCAGCGACUUAUAUUCUGUAGCAAGGUUAACCGAAUAGGGGAGCCGAAGGGAAACCGAGUCUUAACUGGGCGUUAAGUUGCAGGGUAUAGACCCGAAACCCGGUGAUCUAGCCAUGGGCAGGUUGAAGGUUGGGUAACACUAACUGGAGGACCGAACCGACUAAUGUUGAAAAAUUAGCGGAUGACUUGUGGCUGGGGGUGAAAGGCCAAUCAAACCGGGAGAUAGCUGGUUCUCCCCGAAAGCUAUUUAGGUAGCGCCUCGUGAAUUCAUCUCCGGGGGUAGAGCACUGUUUCGGCAAGGGGGUCAUCCCGACUUACCAACCCGAUGCAAACUGCGAAUACCGGAGAAUGUUAUCACGGGAGACACACGGCGGGUGCUAACGUCCGUCGUGAAGAGGGAAACAACCCAGACCGCCAGCUAAGGUCCCAAAGUCAUGGUUAAGUGGGAAACGAUGUGGGAAGGCCCAGACAGCCAGGAUGUUGGCUUAGAAGCAGCCAUCAUUUAAAGAAAGCGUAAUAGCUCACUGGUCGAGUCGGCCUGCGCGGAAGAUGUAACGGGGCUAAACCAUGCACCGAAGCUGCGGCAGCGACACUAUGUGUUGUUGGGUAGGGGAGCGUUCUGUAAGCCUGUGAAGGUGGCCUGUGAGGGUUGCUGGAGGUAUCAGAAGUGCGAAUGCUGACAUAAGUAACGAUAAAGCGGGUGAAAAGCCCGCUCGCCGGAAGACCAAGGGUUCCUGUCCAACGUUAAUCGGGGCAGGGUGAGUCGACCCCUAAGGCGAGGCCGAAAGGCGUAGUCGAUGGGAAACAGGUUAAUAUUCCUGUACUUGGUGUUACUGCGAAGGGGGGACGGAGAAGGCUAUGUUGGCCGGGCGACGGUUGUCCCGGUUUAAGCGUGUAGGCUGGUUUUCCAGGCAAAUCCGGAAAACCAAGGCUGAGGCGUGAUGACGAGGCACUACGGUGCUGAAGCGACAAAUGCCCUGCUUCCAGGAAAAGCCUCUAAGCAUCAGGUAACAUCAAAUCGUACCCCAAACCGACACAGGUGGUCAGGUAGAGAAUACCAAGGCGCUUGAGAGAACUCGGGUGAAGGAACUAGGCAAAAUGGUGCCGUAACUUCGGGAGAAGGCACGCUGAUAUGUAGG
rnacentral:rRNA from 1 species